GUGAAGNGACCCCGCGAGGGCAAGCCAAUCACAGAAAAGCCAUCUCAGUUCGGAUUGUAGUCUGCAACCCGACUACAUGAAGCUGGAAUCGCUAGUAAUCGCGAAUCAGAAUGUCGCGGUGAAUACGUUCCCGGGUCUUGUACACACCGCCCGUCACACCAUGGGAGCCGGGAAUGCCCGAAGUCAGUGGCCCAACCGCAAGGGGGAGCUGCCGAAGGCAGGCCUGGUGACUGGGGUGAAGUCGUAACAAGGUAAC
rnacentral:rRNA from 1 species